rnacentral:lncRNA from 1 species
GGCAGCGUGACCAAGGUGAGCCAAUGCCAUGGCCGUUGCUGUCGCACUCCUUCUGCCACCGUCCUGCACACAAGUGACGCCGUCGAGCGGUCCUGAAUGGCAGAAUGCAGAGACUUCCGUGUUGGACCUGAGAAAGUCCCUGGCGAAUGAAGUCGAGUUGGCCACCCUGGCCUUGGUGACACCC